rnacentral:sRNA from 1 species
GUCUUUUGCGCACUUGUUGUUUCCUGGGCGGGGUUCGCCCGCCACCAGGACCAAACCAUAAACCUUUUUUUAAUGCAGUUGCAAUCACGCGUCAGUAAAAAACAAUGUAAUUAUUACAACUUUCAACAACGGAUCUCUUGGUUCUGGCAUCGAUGAAGAACGCAGCGAAAUGCGAUACGUAGUGUGAAUUGCAGAAUUCAGUGAAUCAUCGAAUCUUUGAACGCACAUUGCGCCCUUUGGUAUUCCAAAGGGCAUGCCUGUUCGAGCGUCAUUUGUACCUUCAAGCUUUGCUUGGUGUUGGGCGUUUUUUGUCUCCCUCUUGCUGGGAGACUCGCCUUAAAACGAUUGGCAGCCGGCCUACUGGUUUCGGAGCGCAGCACAUAUUUUGCACUCUGUGUCAGGAGAAAAGGACGGUAUCCAUCAAGACUCUACAAAUUUAAC